GUAGAGAAGUUCCUUAAAGCAACCAGAGGCUUUGAAACUCAUCAGUGCUGCUGAGAAGAUGGUAGGAGGCGCUCAGCACGUGUUACUUGCUGACAGCAAUGGCUGCUGCACAGAAAAAGUUGCUGAGCGAGGCAUAUAACAGAAUCUGACCCACCUGAGCUCCUCUGGCGGUCUCUGACAGACACUGCGCAGUGGAGGCCAAAGGGCGUUUUGAAUCUGGCGGAAUGAAAAAUAUUGAUGGAGUGUCUAUUUCAUGCAAAAUGGCUGACCUAGGUGCUGGAAAGACAGAAGUGAACUGACAUAAGUCUUGGCCUCCAGAGCAGCCUGUCUCAUAGAAACAUAAUGUGAGCCACAUGUGUAACUUAAAUUUCCCAGAAGCCACACUAAAAAAAAAAGAAAGAAAAAGGAACGACUCCAAUAUAGUCAAAAUACUAUCAUUUUAAUGUAUGC